rnacentral:misc_RNA from 1 species
GCUGGAAGCAGCUUUAUUUGCAGUAAAAGAAACUGAGAGCACCAUCAUUUGCUUUACAUUAUAGACGAUGAAAACUCACUCUUAAAUUAAAAGCUCCUAAUUUUCUGCUACAAGCAACAGCUGACUUGAGAACAUGAUAUCCAGUGCUUUAAAUGCCUGGGAUCAACUCCCACAUCCCUGAACAAAUCUAGUAAGAAAGGGUGUGGCCAAAUGAAACACAUGCUAACCAAAACCAGAUUUUCCCCUUUUCAUACAUGCCACCAUUUUCGAUUCUCCAUUGCCUUAACAAGC